GUGCCAGCAGCCGCGGUAAUACGUAGGUGGCAAGCGUUGUCCGGAUUUAUUGGGCGUAAAGCGAGCGCAGGCGGUUUCUUAAGUCUGAUGUGAAAGCCCCCGGCUUAACCGGGGAGGGUCAUUGGAAACUGGGGAACUUGAGUGCAGAAGAGGAGAGUGGAAUUCCAUGUGUAGCGGUGAAAUGCGUAGAUAUAUGGAGGAACACCAGUGGCGAAGGCGGCUCUCUGGUCUGUAACUGACGCUGAGGCUCGAAAGCGUGGGGAGCAAACAGGAUUAGAUACCCUGGUAGUCC
rnacentral:rRNA from 1 species